UCAUAAUUUUGAAAUUCAAGACGAGCAGUCUCACUAUCUAUCUUUACUCUCACCAACAAAGGCAACCUCGUAGAACCCUAACAACUUCAAUCUCCUCCGCGCAAUCAAACUCGUACAUCGACGGCCACGGUGCAUUCAUAUCGAUCGCCUUCCCCUCGAGCAUCUCCACCACUAUACGGUCGAACUCCCUCCUGUUUAGCACCGAGUUCAGCGCCACCAGCCUUCGAUCAGCUUCUCGUUGAAGAAAUUUUGCAGCACUGUCACUUCAUCACGCCAAAAAAUUUCACGCCGGAGAGGUUAAAAUCUGUCACUCCGCGUUUCUCGCCAUAACCGACGUCAUUAUCGUCUUCCACGGGCUGACAAAGUGAGGAGAUGUGCUUCACGAUCGCGGCGACUUGUGUUUGCUUUCCUUUUACUGCAGGGAAAUUUAAUUGGUCUAGGCGUUGUGGAAUUUUGUGAAGGAGGACCUCUUCUCUCGAAUCUGCUCCUAGAGUUGUUGUGCUCGUUGGCUUAGGUGUCAAAGUCUUUGGCUAGCAUUUUCCAGAUGUGGGAACUCCUAGUGAUCGCAGUGGCGACGAGGAUGCUGCAGCUUAGUUGGACAUGUUUUAGUGUUGGGCUGCUGAGGAGCCCACGUUGAAGAGUUAUUAUUAUAUUGUAAUCCCUUGCUUAUGAGCAAACUUUUGGUCAUCUGUUGAAUCUUUCUGUUUUGUUAAGGGUACAGUGGUUACCUUAGUUUUUCUUUAUUGAAUACUUGGAUGGUCGUGAAGUCCUCAUAUUUUAAGUCAUAUUUUAAGUCUCGUACCCUUAAAUAUUAUAAUAUGGACGAUGUUUUAUUUAAA